UACGAAGGGGGCUAGCGUUGUUCGGAAUCACUGGGCGUAAAGCGCACGCAGGCGGAUCGAUAAGUCGGGGGUGAAAGCCCGGGGCUCAACCUCGGAAUUGCCUUCGAUAUUGUCGGGCUCGAGUCCGGGAGAGGUGAGUGGAAUUCCGAGUGGAGAGGUGAAAUUCGUAGAUAUUAGGAGGAACACCAGUGGCGAAGGCGGCUCACUGGACCGUUGUUGACGCUGAGGUGCGAAAGCGUGGGGAGCAAACAGG
rnacentral:rRNA from 1 species